CACGUAGGGCGCAAGCGUUGUCCGGAAUUAUUGGGCGUAAAGAGCUCGUAGGCGGUCUGUUGCGUCCGCUGUGAAAACUCGGGGCUUAACCCCGAGCCUGCAGUGGAUACGGGCAGACUAGAGGUAGGUAGGGGAGAAUGGAAUUCCCGGUGUAGCGGUGAAAUGCGCAGAUAUCGGGAGGAACACCGGUGGCGAAGGCGGUUCUCUGGGCCUUACCUGACGCUGAGGAGCGAAAGCGUGGGGAGCGAACAGGAUAGAU
rnacentral:rRNA from 1 species